UAAUAAUGAGGGCCCUAGCAAAUCAAAGA
rnacentral:piRNA from 1 species